GAUGAACGCUGGCGGCAUGCCUAAGACAUGCAAGUCGAACGAAGGGACCCAAUGAGAUUUAUAGAAGUUUGGAGAGCUUGCUCAAAGAAUGGAAAUAAAUCAAUUUGGAUCAUCCCUUAGUGGCAAACGGGUGAGUAACACGUGGGUUACCUGCCUUCAAGAUGGGGAUAACAGUUGGAAACGAUUGCUAAUACCGAAUGUGAUCUACGGAUUAAAGAAGCCUUUAAAGCUUCGCUUGAAGAUGGGCCUGCGGUGCAUUAGCUAGUUGGUGAGGUAACGGCCCACCAAGGCGACGAUGCAUAGCCGAACUGAGAGGUUAAUCGGGCCACAUUGGGACUGAGACACGGCCCAAA
rnacentral:rRNA from 1 species